UGAGGAAUUUUGCGCAAUGGGAGCAAUCCUGACGCAGCAACGCCGCGUGGGUGAUGAAGGCCUUCGGGUCGUAAAGCCCUGUCAGGUGGGAAGAAUGUCCUGGAAUUGAACAGGUUUCGGGAGUGACGGUACCACCAGAGGAAGCACCGGCUAACUCCGUGCCAGCAGCCGCGGUACUACGGAGGGUGCAAGCGUUAUUCGGAAUUACUGGGCGUAAAGCGCGUGUAGGCGGUCCUGCAAGGCUGAUGUGAAAGCCCCGGGCUUAACCCGGGAAGUGCAUUGGAAACUGCAGGGCUUGAGUACUGGAGAGGAUGGGGGAAUUCCCGGUGUAGAGGUGAAAUUCGUAGAGAUCGGGAGGAAUAUCAGUGGCGAAGGCGCCCAUCUGGACGGUAACUGACGCUGAGACACGAAAGCGUGGGGAGCAAACA
rnacentral:rRNA from 1 species